CGAUGGUGGAUUUAGAAGAAAUUAUGAUUGGUCAGGCGAUGAAUAUAAUGGGCUUUACUAAACCCAAUGGAAGGAAGCGGCCACAAAAGGGUUCAAGUUCCAUUUGUGAGUCCAUAAGCCCUUUCCUGUUGUUAUGAAAAAAAAAAUCACCGGAGUUGCUGGCAGGCAAGGGCGGCACUGCAACCAUUACACCCCUUGUCAAGGGGUUUCUCGGUUAAGACUCGUAGAUGUUUCAUUGUAAUAAUCGUUUCUUGAAAAGGCAAUAUGUCCCUGAGGCUAAGAGUAGCAAAUUUUUUGUUUGUUAGAUGAACAUUAUAGCUUUGAUCCAAUUGCCUUCACUAGAGUAGAGCUCUAUGGAUUUGGAUCCCAUUUGGAUCCUCAUGUCCUAUCCGUUCAUCAUAUAUCGUGCGGUCAGAAAUCAUUUUUUAUUUAAAAUUAAGCACAAACAGUACCUAACGAAAGUUGGCUGCACGAUGUACGAUGAAUGGAUAGGAUGUGAGGAUCAUAGGAUUUGGAUUCGAGCUAUUUAUCUUGUUCCCCUAGAUUUGCAAGCUUCCACCAGAUAGAAUGAAUUUGAACACACCAAUAAAUUUUAACUCGUAAAAUGAAUUUUAACUUCUUGUUUUGCUGAAGAAUGAAUUUGAACACACCAACUUCUUUCAACCAAUUUAAAAGAUGGAGGAGGGUGCAUAAAUGCAUGUCAUACAUUUACUUUGUUAUACUUUCACCUUUUAUGUAUCACUAGCAUUUGCACAACAGCACCAAAAUAGCCUCCAAACUUGCUUGCACGCAUGUCAUAUAUCUUCUUUCACUGUACAUCACACGACAAUAUUUUGUUUUAAUAAGAUUGAUCAAGUUCAGGCAAUGCUUGAACCUCUUGGUUGGCACUAUCUUGGUAAGGAAAUCUGCGACGUUAUCGUCCAUGUGAAAUUUUUUCACCAAAAUCUUCGUCAAGUCCACCCAAUUAUGGAUUCUCUGAUAUCUCACUUCAAUGUGUUUUGACCUACCACCCAAUUCUGGGUACUUUGCUUCUAUGGUCAACAAAGCAGUAAUUGGUAAUAGUAGUGCUCUCUAGCUAAGUGGUCCUCUUGCGCAUGUAAAGACAACCAGAAUUUGACCUUUUCUUGUCCAAGUCCCCUGCAUAGUUGGCAUCAACAUAUCCCAACACCCUUGCCUAUUUCCUUAUGCUUUCCAAACAUAAUCUCUCGCUGCCUUAGUAACCUUCAAGUAAUGCAGAACCCGCUUGACUGCAUCCUAAUGUUUUCCUUGAUUUUCCAUGUACUUGGAAAGACGUUGAUUGCUUGAGCCAGGUCGGGUGUGCACACAAUUUCAUACAUCAGGCAUCCCACAACAUUAGCAUAGGGCACCUUCUGUUGGAGCAAUAUUAGAAAAUACGAAAACAACAAUAUAAAUACCAAUGGUAAUAAUUAUAAAGAAACUCUCAACAUCAAUUGUGUACAAAAUUAAUAUAAACAAUUAGAGAGAGAGAGAGAGAGAGAAAGAAAUACUGAUAAAGUUGGAGAUUAAGGCUUGCAUAAAUGCAAUGUCCUAAAGAUAGAUUUUCGCCUGUACUGUUGUGCUUGUAGUUCUGUAAGUGUCUGUCUUCCAAGAUUCAACAAUCUAUAAUCUGAAGUUGAAGUACUUCAAUCUUCAGACUCUAGCAAACUUUGUAAAUUCAGUACUCUCACGUCACGGUCCAUAAUUUAA